GGCAACUUGCCAGAGUGGUUAAUGGGUGAGACUCGAAAUCUCAUGGCUUCGGUCGCGUAGGGUAAGCUAUGACAGGAUAUCUUUCAUAUAAUGCAUAAUGUGCUAAUUAUCGGUUCAGUUCGAAUCCUGCAGUUGUCG